rnacentral:lncRNA from 1 species
GUCUUUUUUGAGUGUUCUUAAGCUUUUUGGUGACUUUUAUGUGCAUUUGAAGUUGGAAGAGAAGAAGAAAGCUUAGGAUUUCAAAUGGAAGCUAGUAGAUCUAGAGGUUUUGCUUCAUUCUCAGUUCAUUCAAGGUAAAAAGCUUGAACCCUGACCAUUCAUCUCCUAUAUCUUGUUUUGGGGCUAUUUUCUACCUUUUAUAAGUUUUGAGAGGCUAUACUCGGAUUUGUAUGUAUAUUUGGAGUUGCACUUUAGAUCUGGAACCAUUGAGGGUACCCAUGGCAUAAAGGUGACAACUUUAUGGCCUUGGGAGACCCAUGCAACAUAUAAACCCCUUUUUAUGGCUUUUUGAGCCAAAGGCCCCAUGCAUGGAUAUCAAGUUUGUAGCUUUAUGUAUAAAAUGGAACCUAGGAGGCCAGAUCUAUGGUUUUGAUGCAUUAAGACCCAUUAUAAUCGAUUGAAUAGUUUUGGAAAAGAGGGAAUCAACGAGUCCAGUCGCAUUUUCCCAAAUGCCUUAUGGAAAUGGUCUUUGGUUGAGUGGAAGGAACACUCAGCCUGUUAGGAGUUUGUUAUGGACUUGAAGAUCGAAGGACUGGACGAGUUCAAGGAGGAACUCGGCGAGUUCAAGGCAAUGUCCCAACCACAUGAAGACGGACUCGGCGAGUCAUAGACUGAACACUUUCAUAUGGAUGAAGAUGAACUCGACGAGUUCAAGGACGAACUCGGUGAGUCGGUUGAAGAUAGUCUGAUGUGUUGUUGAAGGCGGACUCAUCGAGAUCUUGCUAGACUCGACUGGUAGGGACGAGAUUAUGACAUUUUGUGGUCAUGGGGACGCGGCGAGUUGGUGGACCAACUCAGCAAGUCGAGUCAACCAGAUGUUGACUUUGACCAUUACCUUGACUUUGACUGGGACUUGAGUGACCCUUGUAAGGGUUAUGAGUAUGAAUUAAUAAAUUAGAAAAGUUGUCAUAUAGGGAUUGAGGAGUCGAGGAGAGUUGUUUUUCACACCGAGGACAGUGCAGGCACUACAUGGCAUUCAGGUGAGUUACCUUCCAGUAGAAGUGGGUCUAAGGCACCAAGGCCGACCCACUAGUAUUUGAUUAUAGUAAAGAUGAUUAUCUAAGUGAUAAUUGUCUUGUUGCUAUUAUUAGAUGUGUUCUAUGUGCCAGUAUGAUAUGUUCUAUGUGCUAGUAGUAUUAGGAAAGGGGAAUAGUCCCCGAUUCGGUCAUUAGGAGUGAAGGGUAGGUCGGACACCCCAAAUAUGUCUGACAUCAUGAUUAUGAUAUAUAUUAAUAUGUGAUAGUAGUAAGGGUGAAAUAGUCCCCGUGACUGAUUGAGAUAAACCGGAGGGUAGGCAGGCACCCCAGAAUAGCCUGACACAGGUAGGUCAGCACCCCAUAAUGGCUUGACAUGGGUAAGUCAGCACCUAGAAUGGCUUGACACGGGUAGGUCGGGCACCCCAGAACUGCCCAACAGUAUGUAUGGUUGUAUGGUAUGUGGUAUGAUGGGGGAACUCACUAAGCUUCGUGCUUACCGUUUUUAGUAUUGGUUUCAGGUACCUCUUCAGCUAAGGGGAAGGAGCCGACAGGGUAGCAGCGCAUCGCACACAUAUGAUUUCGGCUUUGAGAACCCUGGGAUUAUACUCUGACAUUUUUCUAUUUGACGUGUGGUUUUCGAGACUUGUGAUUUGUGACUUAAUGUUUUGAAAUGAUAGCAACGAUGUUUUCCGUAAACUAUUUUUAUAAGUAAUGUAAUUAAACAAAAAAUUUUGAAUCUCAAUUUUGGGAUGUUACAAGUUGGUAUCAGAGCCUUGGUUUGAGGGAUUCGGGCACACCAUCGGGGGUUUCUGGACUCAAACCGAGGCUUGAAGGAUUUUUACAAGAAAAAUAGUUUUCUAAAAUUUAAAAAUAAGGAGUUUGGGAAGAACAAGGUGUGUUAUGCGUGUGACCGGUCGAGCUCAAGUAAGUUUUCCCCAAGAUACCCAUACAUGUUAUGUUAUGUUAUAUGAUAUGAUUAUGAGAACUGCAUGCUAGACUAGGGUUAAGGAUCUAGAGAGGAUGCCUUGUAUGCAUGUUAUGUGAUUAUGAGAACUGCAUGCUAGAUUAGGGCUAAGGAUCUAAGAAGGAUGCCUUACAUGCUUGUUGCAUGAGUUUAUUGAGUUGUAUACUAGGGCUGGUUAGUCAGCAUUAUGGUAUCCUGAUUAGGUCAUGCUUGGUAAUGGUUACUCAAUGCACAAAUGUUGCUUGCUUUGUGCUGAUAGGGGUUCCAGCUAGCUUUAACUAACUAGUAAGUGAAUAUGUAAUAGUAUCCACAAGCUAGUUAGGGAAAGAUGGUAGGGACUCCUUGUGCAGCUGAUGGCGGAGAGUAGGUCGGAGAGUGCCCUAGGACAAGCCUAGGAUGAGAUUAGUUUGGAAAGAAAUAUUAGCAAAAGGGACUUGGUGAAGUCGAAGCAAUCCUUGAGGAAAGUACGGAUAGAUGUGGAAGGUAGUAUGGGCCCGUACUACUGGAAGUAGAGGAUCCGUACUCGAAUCAAGGAGCGCUAAGAUAGAACUAGGAAACUUGGAGAGUGUGUGAGACCUCUUGAGAGUAUGUACGACCCUGACGUUUAUGCUUUUUAUUUCAGAAUGGCGAUCACGCGAUAUGGAGCAGGAGGUUCAGGGUUUGGAUCAGGAUCAGGAUCAGACUUGGGUGCGGGAUCCGAGCAGGUUGAUGACAGGCUACGCAAGUUCAUCGUGUAUAAGAUCACGAUAGGUAUCCUUGAGGCGACCCCGGUCAUUUUCGGGUCGAUCAAGGAGGGGAUUAUUGAGCUGAUGGAGGAUCGCCUCCGGACAUUCAGGAGUGACUUGGCGCUCAUCCAGUCGGGUUGACACACACUGUUCUUCAAAGACUCCAGGGGGAGUGGUGUGCUAGACUUUCAUGGGGCGAAGGACCACAUUACUGCCAAGAGAUGGAUCGCAGACAUCGAGUCUGCAUAGUUGAUGAUCUUCUUCCCAAAGGGGUUGAAGGUCCGCUUUGUUGCGGGUUGUUUGAGGGAUAGAGCUAGGGAUUGGUGGGAGUCAUUUGGUGACUCACUGGGAGCCCCAACUGUCAAGGAUAUGAAUUGGUUAGACUUUGUGACCAGGUUUAGGGCUGAGUUUGCGCUAGCUGUGGAGAUUUAGCAGCAGGCCAGGGAGUUUCUUGGCAUGAGAUAGACUACGGAGUCAGUGGCGGAGAUCACCGCCAAGUUCCGAGAGUGGGCCUUGUUGGUACCUCAGUAUGCAUGGGAUGAGGAGAUGUGGAAGACCCGCUAUCAUGAUAUGUUGAGGGCCGAUAUUCGGGAGCAUGUCAGCUACUCAGCCUGCCCGACCCUGGAGUCCAUGAUUGCCAGGGCGAGGGAGAGGGAGAUUGAUUUGGAGCACCUCAGGAAGAGGAAGGAAGAGGCAGAGCAGGUUUCUGGGGUUUCGGGGAAGAAACCCAAGGGAUCCGACACUAGGUCGAAGGGCCAGCUGGGCUAGAGUCGCUGCAGAAAAUGUGGCAGGCCGCAUGAGGGAGCUUGUAGAGCAGGAUCAUCAGGCUGCUAUAAGUGCAGCAAGAAGGGACACUUUGACAUGGAUUGUACUGCUCCUGCCCCUACAGUUCAGAUGUUAGGCCUGAAUUGCUUUCAUUGCAAUCAGAGGGGACAUAAAAAGGCCAACUGCCCCACGUUGACAGCAACAGCAAUGCCAGUGGUGGCGCCAACUCCAGCGACUACACAGGUUACGGAUGGCUGGAAGGUCAAGUCAGAGGCUCCAUUGGUGAGGAGCCGAGCUUUCCAUUUGACAGUCGAGGAGGCACGCGCCGCACCCAAUGUGGUGACGGGUAUAGUUUCUUCUCUCUAACUUUUAUUAUAUGUCGCUUGUGAUAUUGAUGUAUUAUGUUAUAUGUUCUAUUUAGGGUCGUUCGAUGUGAACGGUAUCCCAGUUCAGGUGUUGUUUUAUUUGAGUGCUACCUGAUCAUUUGUCUCUCUUUCUCUUAGCAAGAGGUUCCCUGAGUCUUCGGGCAUGUUAGAUUGCCCUCUAAAGGUCGAGAUUGCGGACGACCGAUCAGUGCGGACAUCAGAGGUUUUAAGGGAUUGCGUUUUGAGGUUGUUCGAGGAGCGCUACUUGGUAGACUUGGUUCCCAUACUGUUGCGGGAUAACAAGGUUAUUAUAGGCAUGGAUUGGUUGAGCCCCAAUGAGGCGGUGAUCGACUGCGCGCAACAGUUGGUCCGGGUUAGGACCCCAAGUGGGGGACAACUAGUGAUUCAGGGUGAGAGGCCACAAUGUGGACCAACUUUAUGUUCAACAGGGAGGGCUAGACGCUACCUCCAGUAGGGGUAUGCAGGGUAUGUCGCUUAUGCUUGGAUACUCGGGAUACGAGCAAGGCGAAUGUGAGUGGCGUGUUGGUGGUAUGAGAGUAAGCGGAUGUAUUUCCAUAGGAGUUGACUGGAAUAACUCCGGAGAGGCAGGUAGAGUUCAUGAUCGACCUAGUCCCUGGUGCGGCUCCGAUAGCCAAGGAACUGUAUCGGUUGGCUCCUCCUGAGAUGCAGGAGUUGUCUACACAACUGUAGGUUCUGUUAGACAAGGGAUUCAUUAGACCGAGCAGUUCACCCUAGGGAGCCCCGAUUCUAUUUGUGAAGAAGAAGGACGGGUCGCAUCGGAUGUGUAUAGAUUACCGGGAGCUGAAUAAGGUAACGGUGAAGAACCGUUACCCACUCUCGAGGAUUGAUGAUCCAUUUGACCAGCUUCAGGGAGCAUUUUGGUUCUCCAAGAUCGAUCUGCGUUCAGGUUAUCAUCAGAUGAGGGUUUAGAGUGGAGGAUGUGCAGAAGAUUGCCUUUUGGACGCGAUAUGGUCACUAUGAGUUUGUGGUGAUGCCUUUCGGGCUCAACAAUGCUCCUGCCGCGUUCAUGGAUCUCAAGAACCACAUGUGCAGACCAAUGUUGGAUCGGUCUGUGAUAGUUUUCAUUGAUGACAUCUUGGUCUAUUCCAAGACAUGAGAAUAACAUGAGGAGCACUUGCAGGAGGUAUUGGAUACUAUUAGGAGGGAGAGCUUGUAUGCCAAGUUCUCCAAGUGUGAGUUCUGGUUGCGCAAGGUGCAAUUUCUUGGGCAUCUUGUCGACCCAACCAAAGUGGAGGUCGUGAUGAGGUGGGAGGUUCUGAGGUCUCCAUCUGAGAUUCGGAGCUUCCUGGGAUUGGCAGGUUACUAUCGAGAUUCAUUCAGGACUUCUCCAAGAUAGUUGUGCCUUUGACUCGGUUGACAAAGAAAGUCGUGGUCUUUCGCUGGGGGCCAGAGCAGCAGGCCGGAUUCGAGACGCUGAGACAGAGAUUGUGCGAGGCGCCAAUCUUAGCCCUGCCGGAGGGCGUGGAUGAUUUUGUGGUGUAUUGCGAUGUGUCCAUCUCGAGUUUGGGCGCAGUAUUGAUGCAGAAAAGGGCAUGUUAUCGCCUACGCUUCAAGGCAGCUGAAGCCUCAUGAGGCGAACCAUCCGACACAUGAAUUGGAGUUGGGGGUAUUUGUUUUCGCCCUCAAGAUUUGGCGUCAAUUACCUCUAUCGGGUCCACUAUACUAUUUACACGGACCAUAAGAGUUUGAGGUACCUUAUGGAUCAGCCGAAUCUGAACAUGAGAAAGCGUCGUUGGCUAGAUGUGGUGAAGGAUUACGAUUGUGAGAUCCUCUACCAACUGGGGAAGGCUAAUGUCGUGGCCAAUGCGCUUAGCCGCAAGGCAGCACCGAUCAUAGAUAUUUGUUUGAGGAUGACAGUGGUGACCCCGCUGUUUGAGUGGAUUCGAGAGGCCCAGUUGGAGGCUAUGAAGGAGGAACAUCACAAGAGUGAGCGUAUUGUGGGUCAGCUUUCCUCCUUCGAUUAUGACAACUGUGGAUUGUUGACUCUACACCAUAGUGUGUGGAUCCCAUAUCAUGGGGGUGUGCGCCAGGUAUUGAUGGAGGAAGUGCACAAAUCCAGGUUUUUUAUCCAUCCCGGGGCGACGAAGAUGUACAUGGAUCUUGGUCUUGAUUAUUGGUGGCCCUGUAUGAAGAGGGAUGUAGCUUGGUUCGUUGAGAGAUGCCUGACCUGUAGGAAGGUCAAGGCCGAGCACCAGAGGCCUCAUAGAAAGACCUAGCCGUUGGAUAUUCCGUUGUAGAAAUAGGAAGAUAUCAUUAUGGAUUUCAUCAUAAAGCUUCCCAGGACCGUGCAGGGAGUGGAUUUGAUUUGGGUUAUCGUGGAUCGGUUGACCAAGAGCGCCCAUUUCAAUCCUAUUCAGAAGAGCAUUUCGGCCGAGAGGUUGGCCGACAUCUAUAUCAGAGAGGUAGUGGCUCGGCACGGGGUGCCAGUUUUGGUGAUUUCUAGCAGAGAUGUGCGGUUCACUUACAGAUUCUGGAAGAAGUUUCACGAUGAGCUUGGUACUCGUUUUCACUUUAGCACCACUUUUCACCCGUGACGGAUGGUCAGAGUGAGUGAACCAUCCAGACUCUGGAGGAUAUGUUGCGGGCAUGUGUUCUAGACUUCGGAGGUAGUUGGGAUAUUUACCUUCCUUUGUAAGAGUUUUUCCUAUAAUAACAGCUAUCACACGAGUAUCGACCGUCCCCCCUUCGAGAUGUUGUACGGGAGGAAGUGUAGGACCCCGAUAUGCUGGGGUGAGGUUGGCCAGAGGGUCAUAGGGAGUACUGAAGUGGUACUCAAGACUACGGAGAGGAUCCAGCAGGUGCGGAGCAGACUUCAUACUGCUUAGAGUCGAAAGAAAAGUUAUGCCGACUGGCGUCGUUGGGACCUAGAGUUCCAAAUCGGGGAUAUGGUGCUUCUGAAGGUGUCGCCUUGGAAAUGAGUCAUUCGGUUUCGGAAGCGAGGAAAGUUAGGCCCCAGGUACAUUGGACCUUUCAGGGUUGUAGCCCAGGUGGGCAAGGUGGCAUAUAGGCUGGACCUUCCAGCUGAACUCAGUCAGAUUCACAAUAUUUUUCACGUCUCCCAGUUGACGAAGUGCCUAGUGGACUACUCAGCAGUGGUGCCUUUGGAGGAUAUUCAGGUGGAUGACAGCUUGAACUACAUCGAGCGGCCAGUGGCAAUCCUCGACAGGAAGUCGAAGGAUCUGAGGAACAAGAUGGUGGAGCUGGUGAAGGUGCAAUGGCAGCACCGCAAGAGCUCGGAAUAGACCUGUGAGCCGGAUGACGAGAUGAGGGAACACUACCCCGAUGUUUUUCCAGAUUCCACAACAGACUUCAAGGACGAAGUCUAAAAUAAGUGGGGGAGAUUUGUAACACCCGGUCCAUGGUACAUAUUUAAAUUCAAGUAUUUUUCAUGUUUUGCCCUGAGACUCGGCGAGUUAGAGGCCCAGCUCGUCGAGUAGACUCGACUUUGGACCCGGAGGUUUAGUGACCUACUCGACGAGUCGGGGGACCGACUCGACGAGUAGGAGCUGUCUGGAUGAAACCCUAAUGUUAGGGUUUGCACCCUAUUUAAACGUCUUAUUCUGCCUCAACCCAGGACCCAUCGUCCCUCCCAACCCAGAGAAAACCUAAAUCGAAACCCUAUGCCCCUUUUGAGUGUUCUUGAGGUUUUUGGUGACUUUUAUGUGCAUUUCAGGUUCGAAGAGAAGAAGAAAGCUUGGGAGUUCAAGUGGAAGCUAGUAGAUCCACAGGUUUUGCUUCAUUCUCAGUUCAUUCAAGGUAAAAAGCUUGAACCUUGACCAUCUAUAUCCUAGAUCUUGUUUUGGGGCUAUUUUCUACCUUUUCUAAGCUUUUGAGAGGCUAUACUCAGAUUUGUAUAUAUAUUUGGAGUUGCACUUCAGAUCUGGAACCAUUGAGGGUUCCCAUGGCAUAAAGGUGCCAACUUUAUGGCCUUGGGAGACCCAUG